rnacentral:rRNA from 1 species
AACAGGAUUAGAUACCCUGGUAGUCCACGCCGUAAACGAUGUCGACUUGGAGGUUGUUCCCUUGAGGAGUGGCUUCCGGAGCUAACGCGUUAAGUCGACCGCCUGGGGAGUACGGCCGCAAGGUUAAAACUCAAAUGAAUUGACGGGGGCCCGCACAAGCGGUGGAGCAUGUGGUUUAAUUCGAUGCAACGCGAAGAACCUUACCUACUCUUGACAUCCAGAGAACUUAGCAGAGAUGCUUUGGUGCCUUCGGGAACUCUGAGACAGGUGCUGCAUGGCUGUCGUCAGCUCGUGUUGUGAAAUGUUGGGUUAAGUCCCGCAACGAGCGCAACCCUUAUCCUUUGUUGCCAGCGGUUAGGCCGGGAACUCAAAGGAGACUGCCAGUGAUAAACUGGAGGAAGGUGGGGAUGACGUCAAGUCAUCAUGGCCCUUACGAGUAGGGCUACACACGUGCUACAAUGGCGCAUACAAAGAGAAGCGACCUCGCGAGAGCAAGCGGACCUCAUAAAGUGCGUCGUAGUCCGGAUUGGAGUCUGCAACUCGACUCCAUGAAGUCGGAAUCGCUAGUAAUCGUGGAUCAGAAUGCCACGGUGAAUACGUUCCCGGGCCUUGUACACACCGCCCGUCACACCAUGGGAGUGGGUUGCAAAAGAAGUAGGUAGCUUAACCUUCGGGAGGGCGCUUACCACUUUGUGAUUCAUGACUGGGGUGAAGUCGUAACAAGGUAACC